rnacentral:rRNA from 1 species
UACGGAGGGUGCAAGCGUUGUUCGGAAUUAUUGGGCGUAAAGCGCGUGUAGGCGGUUGGUUAAGUCUGAUGUGAAAGCCCUGGGCUCAACCCGGGAAGUGCAUUGGAAACUGGCUAACUUGAGUACGGGAGAGGGUAGUGGAAUUUCGAGUGUAGGGGUGAAAUCCGUAGAUAUUCGAAGGAACACCGGUGGCGAAGGCGGCUACCUGGACCGAUACUGACGCUGAGACGCGAAAGCGUGGGGAGCAAACAGGAUUAGAUACCCUGGUAGUCCACGCUGUAAACGAUGGGUACUAGGUGUUGCGGGUAUUGACCCCUGCAGUGCCGAAGCUAACGCAUUAAGUACCCCGCCUGGGGAGUACGGUCGCAAGACUAAA